CAGCAGCUAAGAAUCUUCCGCAAUGGGCGAAAGCCUGACGGAGCGACGCCGCGUGAACGAAGAAGGCCGUGAGGUUGUAAAGUUCUUUUCGGGAGGGGGAAUMACCGUGGCAGGGAAUGGCCGCGGGAUGACGUGAAUCCCGGAAUAAGCCCCGGCUAACUACGUGCCAGCAGCCGCGGUAACACGUAGGGGGCGAGCGUUGUUCGGAAUCAUUGGGCGUAAAGGGCGUGCAGGCGGCASUGCAAGUCCGGCGUGAAAGACCCCGGCCCAACCGGGGGGGUGCGCUGGAAACUGCGGUGCUUGAGUACAGGAGGGGAUGCCGGAAUUCCAGGUGUAGGGGUGAAAUCUGUAGAUAUCUGGAAGAACACCGAUGGCGAAGGCAGGCAUCUGGCCAUGUACUGACGCUGAGACGCGAAGGUGCGGGGAGCAAACAGGUUUAGAUACCCUGGUAGUCCGCACAGUAAACGAUGUGCACCAGGUGGCGGGGGUAGAACCCUCGGUACCGUAGCAAACGCAUUAAGUGC
rnacentral:rRNA from 1 species